UCUGAUAUUUCAGACUCCAAGUGAACAACAUUCUUCUGCAUCCAGUCAUUGUGGAAUGCCGGCUGACUAAGACUGACAUGGAGCUGGAGGUGCUGCGAUACACUAACCGGAUUUCCAGUGAAGCCCAUAAAGAGGUUGGUGGUUCCUGGUCCCCUAGCUGAUGCUGUCCCCCACCCCCCGGACAUCAAGUGAGGCCCAGCGUAUGCUGUCAGAUCCUUAUUGGACUCCUGACGUUGUGGGGGUCAACUCCAGUAUCUGGACUGGGAGGGGUAUGGGAGGCGUCUGCUCCUCCCCUCCGGCGUACAACGUCGCCAGAGUACUAACCAGUCAUCAUUACGCACACCUGGCACUCAUCAUUACACACACACCUGUGAAUCAUUAUGACUCACACCUGGACUCCAUUACCUUCAUAAUUUCCUCCCCUUUAUGUCACUCUCCCAUGUGCACUUACCAGUUGGUAUUGUUCUUGUGUCUCGGCGUACGUGUUCGUGUCGUGUUCUUGGUUUUGUUGUUUUAUUAAAAUGUUCACCUGCACCUGCUUCCGACUCAC